CAAGGGGCCAACGGCCGGGGGGUUACCGGUCCCCUGUAAGCGCAAACCCGGUUAUGGCGCGGCCGCAGCCCGAGGGCGGUUCAGUCUUGCGACCAGGCCCUGGUUCCAGACCAUGAAGUCCCGUCUCUCAGGGCUGGUAGCAUGCCGAACCUGGUCAGGCCCGGAAGGUGAAUAGAGGAAUGCUCGUUCAUCCGAAGGAGCAGCCAUAAGGCAUGCUAUCAGUGCUUGAGAGUUCUCGGGAUGGAGAAAGGAAUCAGGAUAAACCUGGUUGCAAGACUGUCCCCACCGAGGGCGUGCCCCUUG
rnacentral:SRP_RNA from 1 species